rnacentral:lncRNA from 1 species
UGGGCAGAGUUGCUGAGAAAACAGCAAAGAUGUGGUUGUGGCUUCUAAAUACUGGAUAAUCUUCACACUUCUUUAAAAAAUAGAAAAGACCCUUUUGUAGCUGAGCAAUGUGGGAAGAACUCUGAGGAUUUCCAUUGUUUCAGCUAUCCCUAUGAAUAAGUAAAAAUACUAAUGGCCUGAAUGUGGAGAAGGUCGGUGUUGUUCUGUGUCAUCACCUUGCUGAUGUUAAAAGGACCCAGGAAGGGACAGUGAUGCAAUACUGCAUCCAGCAGAAUCUGGGCAGACCAUACAGUCUUGAGCUCAGCCUGGUGAGAAGUGACUAUACAACUUCCAGCAAGGCUUUUGUAGACACAACUCUUUAGGGAUAACAUCUGCUUCCCAAAGAAGACUUCCAAUUCAGGAGAAAAGCACAAAUAUUUACAGGCAAAUUCCUUUUUCCUUCCCCUUCCCCCUUCCCCCUUCUCCUCUCCCCGUUCUCUCUUCCCCCUUCCCUUCCCUUCCCUUCCCUUCCCUUCCCUUCCCUUCCCUUCCCCUUUCCCGUCCCUUCCCUUUCCCUUUUUUCCCUUCUUCCCUUCCCUUCCUUCCCUUCCCUUCCCUUCCCUUCCCUUCCCGUUUUUAUUUUCUCUUUUUUCCCUUCCUUCCCUUCCCCUUUUCCCUUCCUUCCCCUCCCCUCCCCUCCCUCCCCUCCCCUCCCUCCCCUCCCCUCCCCUCCCUUCCCC